CCAUCAUCAUCAUCUCUGCCACAACAACUGCUAAUUUAUUAUUCUUUUUCUUAUUGUUGAAAUAGCAUUUUUUCACUUAUUGGCAUCUGACUUUCCAAUCUCCAUUCUCUCCUACCUGAUGCCAUACUUUCCUCCCUUUGUCCACUUUCGAAAAGCUGCAACAGUAAAUUUGCAGACUUCUUUUUUUCUUCAUAUUUUAAACACAUCUCUGCACAUCGUACUGUUGUUGCUUGCCAUUGCUUUUUGGCACUCACUCGCUGUGCGUUGCGUUGGCUGACGUUUGCUUAUUAUUUUUUUCGUAUAUAAUCCUUUCCAUUCCUAAUUUUGGUGUCAACUGCCAUGACCGCAUGAAUGUUGUUGUUGACAAGUUGAAGAGCAUUGUUCUGCGUACAAUUGUAAUGGGUCUGUUGGUGCCGUUGCGUUCGUGGGUUUCGGCUCACGAUUUGUCUGGUACGUCGGGAAAAAAGUCAAUUAUGAAUGUAAUUGAUCUGACUACCGUGCGUAACGGUAUUCAAAUGUGUGUUUGAUGGACUUUAUUUGCAAUCGGCGCUCAAUGUGUUUUCUUUUAUCGGUGGCGUCAAUGUUAGCCUCCCAUCCGACCCGUCUUGUAACACGGACCAAGGAGUUCAGUAGGCACGCGAGUCGUUGACGUUUUUCAUUGAACAGUCGAAGGCGAAAUGAAAGUGUUCAUGAAAAUGAACAGUACUUUUUUAUGGAGUGCUGUUCGCUUUCAACAUGAUCGUCCUUUUUUGUGCUUAAUUGUGCAAAAUUGAUGUAUGGGGACGCGCAGUGUGGUGCCGUUGAAUAGUCGCACUGUUCUUUCUUUCUCUUCGGGGUUGGAGGAACAAUUGUCGAUCAGUCGGUUUCGGAGCGUGCACACUGGUACCCGAAAGAUGGUGAACUAUGCUUGAGCAGAAUGAAGCCAGAGGAAACUCUGGUGGAAGUUCGUAGCGGUGUUGACGUGCAAAUCACUCGUCUGACUUGAGUGUAGGGGCGAAAGACUAAUCGAACCAUCUAGUUGCUGGUUCCUUCCGAAGUUUCCCUCAGGAUAGCUGGCAUUUGUUUGUAACAAUUUUAUCCGGUAGAGCGAAUGAUUAGAGGUGUUGGGAACGCAAUGUUCUCAGCCUAUUCUCAAACUUCGAAUGGGUAAGCAAGGCGUUUUGCUUUGAUUUUACGAUGAAAUCGCCCAAUUAGAAUGCAUAAAUGCCUAGUGGGCCAAUUUUGGUAAGCAGAACUGGCGAUGUGGAAUGAACCAAAAGUCAGGUUAAGGUGCCAGACAUUGGCGCUCAUGAAAUACCAGAAAAGGUGUUGGUCGAUAUAGACAGCAGGACGGUGGCCAUGGAAGUUGGAAUCCGCCAAGGAGUGUGUAACAACUCACCUGCCGAAUCGACUAGCCCUGAAAAUGGAUAGCGUUUGAGCGCCAGGCCCAUACCUGACCGUCUCAAUUACGCACUUUUUUUCGGAAAAGGUGUAAUGAACGUUGAGACGGGUAGGAAGGUCGCGACAGUGUUGCUUUGAAGAGUUUUGAGCGUGAGCUCGCUCGGAGCCGCUGUUGGUGCAGAUCUUGGUGGUAGUAGCAAAUAUUCAAGUGAGAACCUUGAAGGCUGAAGUGGAGCAAGGUUCCAUGUGAACAGCAGUUGGACAUGGGUCAGUCGAUCCUAAGAAAACGGCGAAAGCUUGUUCGAAUUUGCGACAUGAAUUGUAAGACUGUGUGUGUUUAUUGUGUGUGCAGUUGUCGUAUGUUUUCGAAAGGGAAUCCGGUUGAUAUUCCGGAACCGAGUAACGGAGACAAAGAGUAGCGCUUUAAUCUCUCUGUGGGGUUGGCGUUCAACUCAAUCGCGCGGUAACGCAAGCGAACUCGGAAAAUGACCGUCGUGAGUUUCGAAAAGAGUUUUCUUUUCUUUUUAAGGGACGCAUUCCCUGGAACCGGGUUGUCCGGAGAUAGGGAUUCUGGUAUCCAUAAAACGCCGACUUUUUCACGGUGUUCGGAGCGCUCUCGUCGGUACGUGAAAAUCCGAGCGACGCCUGGUAAAUCUCGUACUUGGUCGUACUGAUAUCCGCAGCAGGUCUCCAAGGUGAAUAGCCUCUGGCCGAUAGAAUAAUGUAGGUAAGGGAAGUCGGCAAAACGGAUCCGUAACUUCGGAACAAGGAUUGGCUCUAAGGGCUGGGCCGAUCGGGCUGAGGUUUCAAGCGUGCAGUGUAUGCUUGGCUGAGUUGUGUUGAGGACUUGUUCACUUGCCGCCGUUUGUUCGGUUGGUCUAGUGUAUUCGAGUCUGAAGCAGAGCUGGCCGACAGACCGGCACGUGCAGAACCUGAGCUGCGCGGCUGUCCGUUUACGUGUACAGACCGUUUCGGUCGGCAUUCAACAGCCAACUUAGAACUGGCACGGACACAAGGAAUCUGACUGUAUAAUUAAAACAAAGCAUUGCGAUGGCCGAUGAUCGGUGAUGACGCAAUGUGGUCUCUGCCCAGUGCUCUGAAUGUCAAAGUGAAGAAAUUC
rnacentral:rRNA from 1 species